rnacentral:rRNA from 1 species
CCUUGUACACACCGCCCGUCACGCCAUGGAAGUUGGUAUUACCCGAAGAGAUUUCGCCAACCGCAAGGAGGCAAAUUUCAACGGUAUUGCCGAUGACUGGGGGUG